GUCCUCGUAGCUCAGCUGGAUAGAGCGACUCCCUCCUAAGGAGUAGGUCGGAAGUUCGAAUCUUCUCGGGGACGCCA
rnacentral:tRNA from 1 species